rnacentral:lncRNA from 1 species
GGGUGUGAUUUUUAUUGGUGUUACUAGCAAUGCCAUAGUGCUUCACAGUUUACAAAAGUGCUUUCUCACAUAUUGUAUCAGUUAAGUCUCAAGCUAACUCUGGUAGGUAGGUCUUAUUAUAUAGAUUUAUCUUUUUUUUUCCUAGAAAAGUACCAUGGUGAAAGAUUUUGGUACCAAAAUGAGAUGGUCUUCGGUGGAAAUCUCACCUCUGUCAAUUACUAGCUUCAUGUCUUUGAACAAGUCAGUUAACCUCCCUGAGCCUCAGGAUCCACAAGUAAGAGGAUAUUUUAACCACACCAAAUUGAAACUGCCUUUUGACUCCAUCAUUUAAACUUCAGAGAUGCUUCAAUCUCACCGUAAAAUUGAAAUGGAAAAGAAAUAAUGUUAAUGAAAAUGGGAAAAAAUUACAAAUGAUUAAAUUGGGCAAUAUGGAACAUUGAUCAAGGAAUUAAAUUGGUUUAAUGGAGUUCACUGGAAAAAAAUACUUUCUCCACAAAAAUGUAUUGAUGCUAGCCUAAUUUUGCUUAAAAUAUUUGUAUUUGAAAUGUGGAUGGGGGUCAACAUGGGGUUAAAACGGUGAACACAAAGAGCCUGGUCCCUAGUGCUCAUAAUAAGAACUAGAAUAACUCCUACCCAACACUAUUUCAAGUACUUUUCAUGCUAUCAUUUAAUCAUCAAAGAAGUCCAGGG